GGUUAUUCCAUUAUUCUUCAACCGGACCCUGGUUCAAUGCGACUUGGUUUACAAAAGGAACCAUAGAAAGAUUUGUUCGAUUUGUGAAUACUCCGGAGAUAUUGGAACGAGUGUACACCGUUGAGUCAGAGAUUUUGCAGAUUGAAGAGGUGAUUGCAAUUCAAAGCAACAACAAUAUAGGGUUGAGUACUGGGGUGGAAGAACAUCACGGAAAACCUUUGGAAAGCAUAGAAGGCAAAAGGGCUACACCGGAUUCCUUGCAGGAGAAAGCCAUCAUCCUUUAUGCA